CUCCUACGGGAGGCAGCAGUUAGGAAUAUUGGUCAAUGGACGCAAGUCUGAACCAGCCAUGCCGCGUGCAGGAUGACGGCUCUAUGAGUUGUAAACUGCUUUUGUACGAGGGUAAGCGCAGAUACGUGUAUCUGUCUGAAAGUAUCGUACGAAUAAGGAUCGGCUAACUCCGUGCCAGCAGCCGCGGUAAUACGGAGGAUUCAAGCGUUAUCCGGAUUUAUUGGGUUUAAAGGGUGCGUAGGCGGUUUGAUAAGUUAGAGGUGAAAUUUCGGGGCUCAACCCUGAACGUGCCUCUAAUACUGUUGAGCUAGAGAGUAGUUGCGGUAGGCGGAAUGUAUGGUGUAGCGGUGAAAUGCUUAGAGAUCAUACAGAACACCGAUUGCGAAGGCAGCUUACCAAACUAUAUCUGACGUUGAGGCACGAAAGCGUGGGGAGCAAACAGGAUUAGAUACCCUGGUAGUCCACGCAGUAAACGAUGAUAACUCGUUGUCGGCGAUACACAGUCGGUGACUAAGCGAAAGCGAUAAGUUAUCCACCUGGGGAGUACGUUCGCAAGAAUGAAACUCAAAGGAAUUGACGGGGGCCCGCACAAGCGGAGGAACAUGUGGUUUAAUUCGAUGAUACGCGAGGAACCUUACCCGGGCUUGAAAGUUAGCGACGAUUCUUGAAAGAGGAUUUCCCUUCGGGGCGCGAAACUAGGUGCUGCAUGGUUGUCGUCAGCUCGUGCCGUGAGGUGUCGGGUUAAGUCCCAUAACGAGCGCAACCCCUACCGUUAGUUGCCAUCAGGUCAAGCUGGGCACUCUGGCGGGACUGCCGGUGUAAGCCGAGAGGAAGGUGGGGAUGACGUCAAAUCAGCACGGCCCUUACGUCCGGGGCUACACACGUGUUACAAUGGUAGGUACAGAGGGCAGCUACCCAGCGAUGGGAUGCGAAUCUCGAAAGCCUAUCUCAGUUCGGAUUGGAGGCUGAAACCCGCCUCCAUGAAGUUGGAUUCGCUAGUAAUCGCGCAUCAGCCAUGGCGCGGUGAAUACGUUCCCGGGCCUUGUACACACCGC
rnacentral:rRNA from 1 species